UUAAGAUUCAAUCAUUAUAGUCAUUGUGCAGUGUACAGUACAGAGGCAACGACAUGCAGUUAUCAUCUCACCGGAAGAUCGAACAUAGAAUAAUGAGCAA